GAGUAACACGUGGGCAAUCUGCCCUGCACUCUGGGACAAGCCCUGGAAACGGGGUCUAAUACCGGAUAUGACCGUCUUGGGCAUCCUUGAUGGUGUAAAGCUCCGGCGGUGCAGGAUGAGCCCGCGGCCUAUCAGCUUGUUGGUGAGGUAAUGGCUCACCAAGGCGACGACGGGUAGCCGGCCUGAGAGGGCGACCGGCCACACUGGGACUGAGACACGGCCCAGACUCCUACGGGAGGCAGCAGUGGGGAAUAUUGCACAAUGGGCGAAAGCCUGAUGCAGCGACGCCGCGUGAGGGAUGACGGCCUUCGGGUUGUAAACCUCUUUCAGCAGGGAAGAAGCGAGAGUGACGGUACCUGCAGAAGAAGCG
rnacentral:rRNA from 1 species